AGAGGUCCCACCUGCCCUGUGACCAACGUUUAACGGCCGCGGUAUUUUGACCGUGCAAAGGUAGCGCAAUCAAUUGUCUUUUAAAUGGAGACCUGUAUGAAUGGUAUUACGAGGGCCCGACUGUCUCUCGACCCCUGUCAGUGAAACUGAUCUGCCCGUGCAGAAGCGAGCAUUUCAAUACAAGACGAGAAGACCCUAUGGAGCUUUAGGCGCCCACCACCUGUAAUGAGCACUUGUUAUACUCAAGAUUCAACCCGCACAGCAAUGGCACAAACGCCUUCGGUUGGGGCGACCACGGGGGAAAAUGAAGCCCCCGAGCGGACCUACCCACCAGAGUUUAGGGCCACACCCCUGAACCACAGAACAUCUGACCGAAAAUGAUCCGGCCCACACCCGAUCAACGGACCAAGUUACCCUAGGGAUAACAGCGCAAUCCCCUCCCAGAGUCCCUAUCGACAAGGGGGUUUACGACCUCGAUGUUGGAUCAGGACAUCCUAAUGGUGCAGCCGCU
rnacentral:rRNA from 1 species